rnacentral:tRNA from 1 species
GAGAUAUUAGUAAAAUAAUUACAUAACUUUGUCAANGNUAAUU